ACAGAUCUCUUUGAUUGUUGCUGCU
rnacentral:miRNA from 1 species